UACGGGGGGUGCAAGCGUUAUUCGGAAUUAUUGGGCGUAAAGAGCGCGUAGGCGGUCUUUUAAGUCAGAUGUGAAAGCCCGGGGCUCAACCCCGGAAGUGCAUUUGAAACUAGAGGACUUGAGUAUGGGAGAGGGAAGUGGAAUUCCUGGUGUAGAGGUGAAAUUCGUAGAUAUCAGGAGGAACACCGGUGGCGAAGGCGACUUCCUGGACCAAUACUGACGCUGAGGCGCGAAGGCGUGGGGAGCAAACAGGAUUAGAUACCCUGGUAGUCCACGCAGUAAACGUUGAUCACUAGGUGUAGCGGGUAUUGACCCCUGCUGUGCCGCAGUUAACGCAUUAAGUGAUCCGCCUGGGGAGUACGGUCGCAAGAUUAAA
rnacentral:rRNA from 1 species